rnacentral:lncRNA from 1 species
UUCGAGUUUGGUACUCACCUGUCUGUUGCAUUUUGGUUCAUGCAAUGCGAUCGCUGCCACCUGAAGCCUGCAUCUUGGUUUAUGGGGAUACAUAAAUUUUCAGGGGGAGAAUUUAGCCAUACAUAUCAUGCGAAAUAUGCCAACCUAGCUAAUCUAUGAUAUUCCCCAUUGUUGCGGUGUUCAUGGCAGAAAUUGCACACCAAAAGAGGUGCUCUGCUUGUUGAAAUAUCAUGCAGCGGCCUCCCAGAUUCUUGGUAGACUAGAGUUCCCAAAUGACAUGCAAGAGUCUCUAGGGUUUCAGGAUUAGUGAUUCCGUCAUAUGCCACUGCAGAUGCCCUUUGAAACCUCCCAUGCUCAUCAUGGCAGACAACAUAAGCCGCAUCUUUGUUCAUCGUCUUUGCUACCAUUCAGCUUCAUAUGAUGGGUUGACUGGGGGAGCCAUCGCGCAUCGCGGUGUGAGGUGUGACUGGUCUUGGUCGACCCCGCAUAUAAUCAUGGUUAGUGAUUUCAUCUGUGUAGCUUUUAUGAACAAGUGACUUAAGAGAGGACUCUGAUAUUUAUGCUCGUGGAUAGCACGCCGCUGAGCAUAUACAA